rnacentral:sRNA from 1 species
AAUUUUUUUAUUAAAUUCCACACACGUAGCAAAACGUGACUUUGGGUGUUGUAUUUUGUGUUUUUUUACAGGAUAUGAUUGAAGUCAUCGGCUUACGUGGAGGUUUAAC